CAUUAUCUGAAAUAAAUACAGUAAAAAGUGAAGCAGUUGGUCCGUCUCUAUCUCAAUGACACUAAAUGCUGACAAUUUUGUUCCAAGGAAAUAAAUUAACAGUCUAAAAUGAAAAAAAUACAGAUAAAAUUAGCUCCAAGACGUAUUGGGUGCUGUGCAUGAGACAAGAUAUGCUUCACACAGGCUGAAUCAUUGCAGAAAACAACUGAAUUAUGAACUAGAACACAAGCCAGUAGAAAGCUAUACCAAAAUUAACGACAAAGAAACAGUUGGAUAAAGCAGCUGAUAAAAAGAAGAUAAAGUUCAUCAACGUAGCAAAAUCUAUGCUUAUUCUUCCCGCUCUUUUGGACCAGAC